rnacentral:rRNA from 1 species
UGAACGCUAGCUACAGGCUUAACACAUGCAAGUCGAGGGGCAGCAUGGUCUUAGCUUGCUAAGGCCGAUGGCGACCGGCGCACGGGUGAGUAACACGUAUCCAACCUACCGUCUACUCUUGGACAGCCUUCUGAAAGGAAGAUUAAUACAAGAUGGCAUCAUGAGUCCGCAUGUUCACAUGAUUAAAGGUAUUCCGGUAGACGAUGGGGAUGCGUUCCAUUAGAUAGUAGGCGGGGUAACGGCCCACCUAGUCUUCGAUGGAUAGGGGUUCUGAGAGGAAGGUCCCCCACAUUGGAACUGAGACACGGUCCAAACUCCUACGGGAGGCAGCAGUGAGGAAUAUUGGUCAAUGGGCGAGAGCCUGAACCAGCCAAGUAGCGUGAAGGAUGACUGCCCUAUGGGUUGUAAACUUCUUUUAUAAAGGAAUAAAGUCGGGUAUGGAUACCCGUUUGCAUGUACUUUAUGAAUAAGGAUCGGCUAACUCCGUGCCAGCAGCCGCGGUAAUACGGAGGAUCCGAGCGUUAUCCGGAUUUAUUGGGUUUAAAGGGAGCGUAGAUGGAUGUUUAAGUCAGUUGUGAAAGUUUGCGGCUCAACCGUAAAAUUGCAGUUGAUACUGGAUAUCUUGAGUGCAGUUGAGGCAGGCGGAAUUCGUGGUGUAGCGGUGAAAUGCUUAGAUAUCACGAAGAACUCCGAUUGCGAAGGCAGCCUGCUAAGCUGCAACUGACAUUGAGGCUCGAAAGUGUGGGUAUCAAACAGGAUUAGAUACCCUGGUAGUCCACACGGUAAACGAUGAAUACUCGCUGUUUGCGAUAUACAGCAAGCGGCCAAGCGAAAGCGUUAAGUAUUCCACCUGGGGAGUACGCCGGCAACGGUGAAACUCAAAGGAAUUGACGGGGGCCCGCACAAGCGGAGGAACAUGUGGUUUAAUUCGAUGAUACGCGAGGAACCUUACCCGGGCUUAAAUUGCAGAUGAAUUACGGUGAAAGCCGUAAGCCGCAAGGCAUCUGUGAAGGUGCUGCAUGGUUGUCGUCAGCUCGUGCCGUGAGGUGUCGGCUUAAGUGCCAUAACGAGCGCAACCCUUGUUGUCAGUUACUAACAGGUUCUGCUGAGGACUCUGACAAGACUGCCAUCGUAAGAUGUGAGGAAGGUGGGGAUGACGUCAAAUCAGCACGGCCCUUACGUCCGGGGCUACACACGUGUUACAAUGGGGGGUACAGAGGGCCGCUACCACGCGAGUGGAUGCCAAUCCCCAAAACCUCUCUCAGUUCGGACUGGAGUCUGCAACCCGACUCCACGAAGCUGGAUUCGCUAGUAAUCGCGCAUCAGCCACGGCGCGGUGAAUACGUUCCCGGGCCUUGUACACACCGCCCGUCAAGCCAUGGGAGCCGGGGGUACCUGAAGUGCGUAACCGCGAGGAGCGCCCUAGGGUAAAACUGGUGACUGGGGCUAAG